AUCGAGAACACGGUCGAGGUCGUAUUUUUUUCCGUGGACGUCGUACAGGGACGACGUGAACAAAGGGAAGUUCUUAGAGUCGUACGCAUUGGACCAGUAGGCGAUGGGGACAAUGAUGUAGACCAGGGCGAUGAAACCAGCCAAUACGUUGAACGUCGCAAACGCUGGUGAAGCCAGGGGACUGCCGAGGAAGCCGGAGAUGGUGGACCAGUCGAGGCCGAAAGACCCGACGCCAAGCCCCCUCAUCCCGGAACCGAUCUGAUGCGCAGUGACGGACUUCUUCCAGAUCAGGCAGAUCACGGAGAUCGCAGUGAUAGAUGGGAACAACACGUUGGGAACAACAUAGUAGGCGAAGCUGCAUGCGAUAACUAUCAAGAAGAACUGGAAUCUUGACACACCACCCUUGGACCUCUUCUCUUCCUCAUGUAGUGCUCUGCACACAACAGAACAGGAUUCGAUGGGCUGAUGUCUGGAUAUUGGCAAUGCAUUGCAGAAUUACCUGAAGAGGGAGACUUGGACGAGGUUUCCUGGCCACCACAUAUAAGGUGAAUCCACCAGGUACUUCCUAAACAAUCCAGCCCAUCCAAAUCCAAGCAACUGAGGUUUAACCGAACGAACACAAGGUGGGAGUCUUAGACACUUGAUAAGAUUACUGGUACGAGCGAAUAGGAUCAUGUUCUGAAAGCAUGCAUGGAAUGAUAUGAACAGAGUAAUCCGACCUGGGUUGUUUCCGAUAGCAGCAACGCUGCGAUGAUGUUGAUGCCGCGAUGGUAAAAGGCCCUCAUGAUGGUGACAAUGCCCACUGCGUAGACACCGCCAGCACCGGCGUUAGCAAAAAUGGUGAUCAGCACGUGCUCCUUGAGGUUGAACGGCCCAGGGUUCAAGGAGAAAGACCAGUUGCUGAGGGGGAUCUUGAUCGGUGUAGUGGGCAGGGUGGCGGCCAUCGCCCUACCGACGGGGAGCGCUAGAAUCUGGACGCACACCGAAGAAAGACUGAUCUGGUUCUCCCGGUAGCCCAAGAACUGGUUGACGAAGGAUAGCAGUACGCACGAGAUGAGCCCCAGGGACCAUGUUCGAAAGGUCAAGCAUGGCUGGCUCGGAUCGUCCGUGACCGGAACAGUGAGCCUCACUUCCUCGAUGGGACAGUCAUAGUUUUCUUCUGCCAACACCAAUCAUAUAAAGCAAAGCUGACCCAAACCACAUAAAAAAAAACCACAAAAAAGAGACGAUCUUUACCGGUGUUUUCAGCGAGGGACUCGUCGCCGGAACCUUGGUGCACUUCGGCGACGGAUCCCAUGUCGCUCCGCUUCUCUUCUUAGGGAAUCAAUCAGCGGUCAUGAUUCCACACGAUAUAUAGAGAAAGCCCACCGCAGCAACAGGGAUUCCCCCUUGAUUCCGCAAUAAACCCAAAUGACAUUGUGGAAAUCCUAUAUUUCCUUUUCUGUCAAUAUCCGCCAAUCAUAGUACGCCACGUCAAUAAAACGCAAGUUGGCGCCAUAAACGCUGUGUUUAAUGGACAGCCAAUGUAGAACGAAUCACACUGUGUUUGUCCGCAAUCCUUACCAACCUUCUUUAGUACUACAUCAACUAGUACUAUCAUUAUAUUAUCAUUAUUAGAACUGUUAUAAUUACUACUAUAAAUAAUAAUUAUGCCAGGUAUUUAAAUUGCAUAAAUUUCUUUUUAAUGCUUUUAACAAUAGUAGUUAUUCAUAUAUAUAUAUAUAUAAGAUUUUGAGUUUCUAAUUCACUUAUUUACAAGUGACAUCAGAAACAAAACUUAUAUUCCAGAAAUGCUUAUGAAAGUUGUGCUCACAAAAAACCCUUGAAUGUAGGAUGAAUUGAGGCAAGCAUCACACGAAUAUUUUGGUUACUGCAUGACAUAAGAAAGGUUCAUACUAUUGCUGGAGGAUGAAUAACGCUAACUGCAACUUCAUUUCGGAUACUUAGGCAGGUAAAAAGAAUGAUUUGAUUACAAUAAGAGAAGGAUUAACGAAUACAUAGCGCAAGAAUGACUAAUCUAAUAUGUUUUUCAACAUACAAAGGGUACACAAAAUAUAAUAAAUCUACAUUUCAAUAAAGCAGAUGACGUAAAAAUAGGACAAUCCAAAGGACAAUCAUUGGAAGGAAGGGCAGCCUUCGGGCACGUAGGAACCCGCGGUCGGACACUGAGCAAGAGGGCAGUGGUCGUCGGCAUCGCCUCCCCACCAUGCCACGGAGUAGAUGUUAUAGUUGUUGAGUGCGAAGAAAGCGAGCACGGCCAUGAAGGCCGUCCCGGCAUCCAAACCGGCUGAUAGCACGUAGGUGUACCUCCCCCACCAGUUCUUGUACUUGUUGUACACGUAAUAGUUGAAGAUGAUGCCGACGACGAACCAGGAGGUGUAGUUCACAGCGUGGGCGGGCGGCAUCAUGGCCGUCGCUCCGAGGAGCACCGGGAAGUUGAUAAGCUUGAUCCACUUCUUCUGGGGGAAGAACCGCGACAGAAGCCAGACGAAGAACGGCGCCAGCGCCCCGGCGAGGAAGAAGUAGUUGAGGGAGGAGUAGAUGCUCUCGGGGCCGAACAUGCGCAACGGGCCAACGACUCCCCAGAUGAUGGACGCGCUGAAGAAGACAGCGUCACUGGGGCACGUCCACGGGCUGCCCUCCGGUAAUUUGCUGGUGUCGCAGAUGGACGUGAUAGUGCCGAGAAGCCACCAUGCCGUCCCGAAGUAGACUGCAGAGGCGACUACGGUUCCCACCAGCUGAAGCAACGGCAGUUAGGUUUAGGUUUAUGUGCAUGUCGUUGAGAUACAAUGGAGACUCGAUGAAUUAAAGAAUAAUAGAUUUAACCUGGGCAAAAAACAUGGCCUUUGGAGGGAUCUUCAUGUACUGCCCCAACUUGAAGUCGGCGAGGAACGUAUGAGCUUGGGUCAUGCUAAUGUAUCCAUACGUCUUAAAUACCACGUUCGCCAAAGGCUUCCCUGGCAUUAUGUAACCUAUCACCAUCUCUGUGAUAAUGUUCAGUCCCGGUUCCUGCAGCAGCAGAGAAACAAAGCACGUUAUGCUAUAUGCUAAGGUGUGUAUAUACAUAUAUAUACAUGGCCAAGGUGAAGGAACCUGAUUGGCGGUUGCAAGAAUGACACCGAUGGGCAAUGUGAAAACGAAAGCCAUGGCGAUCGCAAGGAAGAUGCCCCAGUAAGGCAGCUGCAGCUGCUUACCGAAUCCUUCGCAGGUGAAGAUGGCCAGUGCCAUGACGACGACAAGAAUAAUAUGGAACCACCAUUGGGGGACGGCCUCGUAGUUUGCCUUCAUAAGUCUCCCAUGAAUGUCUAGGUAAUUAUCGUGCAUCUUGGAUGCAGUUUGGCGCCAUAGUUUCAGGAUGUACCUGUGGCAGGUCGAGCAACACGUAUGAAUACAGUACAAGAGCAAAGAUAUAAGCAUAGUAGCAGAGGAAGGAAGAGACGCACGAGCCAUUGAAGAGGAAGACAUGGGCGAGAGUGGCCGUCAAUGUCGCAAAGCCGAGCCCGUAGGAGAUGGCGAACAUGAUGCUGAGACGGAUAUUGCUGUAUUUCUCGUAUUCAGUGACGUUCAAUGUGAACGUCUUCUGAUCGAGAACACGGUCGAGUUCGUAUUUUUUUCCGUAGACGUCGUACAGGGACGACGUAUACACGGGGAAGUUCUUAGAGCCGUACGCAUUGGACCAGUAGGCGAUGGGGACGAUGACGUAGACGAGGAAGAUGUAACCAGCUAAUAUGUUGAAGGUAGCAAACGCUGGUGAAGCCAGGGGACUGCCCAGGAAGCCGGCGAUGGUGGACCAGUCGAGGCCGAAAGACCCGACGCCGAGCCCGUGGAGGCCGGAACCAAUCUGAUGCGCGGUGACGGACUUCUUCCAGAUCAGGCAAAUCACGGAGAUCGCGGUGAUGGAUGGGAACAACACGUUGGGAACAACGUAGUAAGCGAAGCUACAGGUGACGACUAUCAAGAAGAACUGGAAUCUUGACACACCACCCUUGGGCCUCUUCUCUUCCUCAUGCAGUGCUCUGCACACGACAACAGAACAGAACUCAAUAGGCUGAUGUACAGAUAUGGGAAAUGCAUUGUAGAAUUUACCUGAAGAGGGAGACUUGGACGAGGUUUCCCGGCCACCACAUAUACGGUGAAUCCACCAGGUACUUUCUGAACAGUCCGGCCCAUCCGAAUCCAAGCAACUGAGGUUUCGCACGAACGAACACAAGGCGUGAGUAUUAGACAGUUAGAUGAGAUUACUGGUACGAGCGAAUAGGAUCAUGUUCUGAAAGCAUGCAUGGAAUGAUAUGAACAGAGUAAUCCGACCUGGGUUGUUUCCGAUAGCAGCAACGCUGCGAUGAUGUUGAUGCCGCGAUGGUAAAAGGCCCUCAUGAUGGUUACAAUGCCCACUGCGUAGACACCGCCAGCACCGGCGUUAGCAAAGAUGGUGAUCAGCACGUGCUCCUUGAGGUUGAACGGCCCAGGAUUCAUGGAGAAAGACCAGUUGGUGAGCGGGAUCUUGAUCGGCGUGGUGGGCAGGAUGGCGGCCAUGGCUCGGCCGACGGGGAGAGCCAGUAUCUGAAUGCAAACCGACGACAGGGAGAUCUGGUUCUCUCGGUAGCCGAGGAACUGGUUGACGAAGGCGAGCAUGACGCAGGAGACGAGCCCCAGCGUCCAUGUUCGGAAGGUCAAGCAUGGCAGGCUUGGAUCGUCGGUGGCCGGCACUGUGAGCCUUACCUGCUCGAUGGGGCUUUCAUAGUUUUCCUCUGCCAUCACCAAAGCAUUCAUCCACAAACACAAAUCAGAUUCGCAAGCAAGAUCUAUUCUUCUACACUCGUAGACUUAAACGACGUAAAAAAGAACCUGUGUUUCCAAGGUCUCGGAGCUCAUCGGCGACGGAUUCCAUGCUUCUCGUUCUCCUCCUUUUGCAUUCAUGAUUCCAAGUCGAUACUUAUAGAUAUCAAACCGCACGAUACGGAUUCGGUUCUGAUUCCUCCAGCAAAACAUUCCCAAAAACAUACGUAUGCGUUUUCCUUAUCUGCCAUGAACGAACCAACCACGAAAGAAAAUAAAUUAAUCUACUAUUCCUGCACCGCCACGUCAUCGGAACGCAGGAUAAAUAUGAAUGCACGAUCAACCGAGGCUGUUCGGGGUGGUUUGAUGCUGGAUAACUGUUUUGGUAUGUACAGUGGGUGCAUUAGAAUGCGUUGGAGAAUAAGUGACCUCUAUUUAUCGCCUGCAUUUACCCUCCCGUUUUGGAAUAUGUUAUUACUACUAAUGUUGAAAAGGUCUCCCAGAAACCAGCCCGAGACACCGGGAAUUAUUUUUAUGAUUAUUAUUAUUAUCAUCAUCAUCAUCAUCAAAUAGUAAGCAUAAUUACAGGGACUAAAAUGUGAAAAAAAAAUAGAUAUUGAUGAUAUAGAUCGAGUUUUCUCGACUCAAACGCCUCGGGCACAAUUGGCCCAGGACUUUCGCAAUGGUGAAUCUGAUAGUGUGGAUUGGGUUUUCCCGACUCAUAUGCAUCGAGCACAUUUGAUCAAAGAUUCUAGUCAUGCAAAUUUGAUAGCAUAGGUCGAGUUAUUCCGACUCAUACGCCUCGGGAAUAUUUAGGCCAAAGUCUUCGUCAUAGUGGACCUAGUUACAUGGGUCAUAUUUUCCUAACUUGUAUGCCCCUGGACACGUUUGGCUCGAGGUUUUCACUAUGGUGAGUUUUUUAGUUUUCUUGUCGUAGCGGAUCUCGAAGUCACACUCCGUCAUGGUGGAUUUUGAUAGCAAAUAAGAUUUUCUCGAGGAAAUGUUUGAACAAAAUUCCUGUAUGCUAAUAUGUAUAAAUAGCCAACAAAUUUACUAUCUCAAGCACAUAAUGUAAUUACAUUUUAUAUUUUAUCAUGGUAUCAGAAUCAUUGUCUAAGAGCAAUACUUAUCUUCUCGUCGAUGAGAAAUUAUGGUCUUUGCUGCCGUCGCUCCCGCUACACUUGCAAAGUCCUCAAGCAGCGAUGCCACCACUACGGACGGAGCUCCGAAGGCUUUUAACCGGCCUCCUCUGCUCCAACGGCCAGCAUUGCACUAUCGAUCGAGAGUCCAGACGAGUGCCACCGCGACGAUCUCUUCUCCUAUGUGAGCCGACGGCUUUCUUGCGGCUGCUUGCUUCGACAGCCUGCACCUGUGGUCGGUGAGUUGUGCAUGCAUCUCACAGAUUGCAUCUUAUAGAUUCUUCCCCUUCCCAUCUCGAUCGGUAACGACCGCAGCUUCCUCCCCCUCUUCUCCUCCUCCGACUUCGGUCAAUCUUCCUCAUCGCAGGAUCGCAGGAGGCGAUUCCCACCAUUACUUUUCCAACGGUGGUCGUUUUCCUAGCGGCGACUGCAGCACUUCCCUGGCGAACGGUAGUUGUCUUCCCCUGGUGUCGUGACAUGUCUCUGCCCUCAUCCUCGUCGAUUGUCGCAAUAGUCUCCGCCCUAAUCCGCCCAAUGAGCAGCUUCACCGAUCCUUAAAGACUGGCGCUCUACCUUUCGUCGUCACCGAUACGGGCGCCGACCACGCUGUCAACUACUGUGGAUUCCUAGAAUACCACCUUGGCGACACUUCCCCUGAACUCUUUCUCCGCUUCGUCGAGCAGCAUCCGGCCCGAAGUGCACUGUGGCAUUUGAAGUCGCAGCCACUCACAGAACUGCAAGUCGCAACCUCUCACAGAACUGCAGAUUUCUCAUAGAUCUGCAACGGUUACGAGCUUCUCUUCUCUGUGGGCAACGCUUCCAAAAGGAAGCACAAUCAUAGCCUCUGUUUCUACCGCUGACUGCUGCUCCCUUGCCAACCGAAGUCUUCCUCUGAAGACUCCGUCGCCCUUCCGGCCACCGAACUCGGCUGCAAGCCGUGAUCUGCACCGAUUGCAGCCAUUGUCGCCUAUUGCGAAUCGCUGCCUUACGUCAACUGCCACAAGCAUUGCUACAACUAUCUCCAACCUCCAAACAUUAGUGCAUAUUUCUCCAACAUCGCUGCAGAUUUCUCCAGCAUCGCUGCAGCUCUCUCCAACAUCACUGCAGCUCUCUCCAGCGCUGCCAUUACUAUUGUAACUCUCUCACACACUGCUGCAAAUCUCUCCAGCAUUGCAAAUAGUAUCGCGGUCCUCCAAUAGAUCUAUAAAACUACAGCAACUUAGCCUUUGGCCGCCGCAAUCGUACCUCUGGAAGAAGCAUUGCUCCUCACUGGUGCACCACCAGUGCUGCCCUCCAGCAGAGUUUUGUGCUGCAGCUCUCUUCAGCAUUGCAAACUGUAUUGCAGUCCUCCAGCAGAUAUACAAAACUGUAGCAACUUAGCCUACGACUGCAGCGACCCUUUUAUAGCCGACGAUUCCCUCGUAUAUUAUCCUUAAAUGUUUUCAUCGUCUACCUCGGAUACCCUAAUUGUUGUCUAUGCAAGGAACCAUAGCGCUUCUCAAUCUACAUACCUUAUCACCAUCAAUGCAGUAGUACUCAUUCCAUUCAAGUUAUCCAAAGGCGAUAACUACGCAUUUUGAUGGGCAUAACUUUCUAAUCUUCUAUUUAGAUAUGAUCUCCUAUGCUACGUUGAUGGCUCUGUCCAGUGUCCACUUGUAAUGGUCAACAUCUCAGGAGAACCAAGUCCAAUACUAAAUCCAAACCACAAACUAUAGUUACGUCAAGAUUUCUCAUCCUCCAAGCUAUUCAAGCCUUCGUCACUGGGUCUGUCGCCCUAUUGAUAUUUUCAUUUACGACUGAUGACUAAUGCAGAAGCAUGGUACAAACCACUAUGGCAAAUCGCUCCCGUACUCAUAUGCUUAGGAUUCUAUCAAAUCUGAUGACAAAGAAACAAGAGGGAAGUACCAUUGUUGACCAUCUACAAAAUAUCAAAGUUAUCAUUGAUGACUUAGUUUUGAUAGGUCAUUCCCCUAGCGAUGAAGAAGUCAUAGUCCAUACCCUUAAUGACCUAGGAAGCGAAUACAAAGAAAUGACAGCAGCAAUUCGGGCACGCAACUCACCAAUAUCAUCUGAAGAACUCUAUGAUAAAUUGACAGAGUAUGAAACGUAUUUGAAGUGCGAUGACACUUGGAAAUACAACCACUACCUUUAUCCUCUUCUAGUACCAGUGACACUGAAAUACCUCUAUUGAAUUCUUUCUUGACUCCUUUCUUAUCAAGGAUUUGAGUACGGGGGCAUCAUUGAUCCGAGGCCAGAGUAAAGACAAUAUUUACGAGUGGUCGUCAGUUAUACAAUUCACCUAGCCCAUUGCCUAUUCCGUCGUAGCUCCAAUUAAUGUGUGGCAUCGUCGUCUUGAUCAUCCCUCAUCCUCUAUCGAGCAAAAAUUACUUUCAUGUUUUUAUCUUCCUACCCUUAAAAACAAUAGCAUUAUAUCUAAUUGUGAUGCUUGUUUAAGCAAUAAAAGUCAUAGAUUCUCUUUUGAAAUCUACUCCAUAUCAUGCGCUAUAUUUUUAAAAUUAUUUAUAUUGAUGUUUGGGGUCUUGCCCCAAUCACUUCUUUUAACAAGUUUAGAUUUUGCAUCAUUUUCGUAGACUACUUUACCAAGUAUACAUGGUUAUACCAUCUCUAUUAUAAAUCUGAAGUUUCAACAAUUUUUUCCAACUUUAGACGGUUGGUCGAGAAUUUCUUUCAGUCUAUAAUCAAAAUAGUUUACUCUGACGGAGCCGUUGAAUAUCAAUCCCUUAUAUCCCGUCUCUUAGCUUAUGGUAGACAAUACCUUAAGUUACGCCCACAUACUCCUCGACUAAUUGGUUCCAUUGAACGCAAACAUCGACAUAUGGUUAAAACCGGCCUCACACUCCUCCAUCAAGACUCCAUGCCAACCAUCUUUUGGUCUACGGCUUUUCAAACUACCGUCUACUUCAUCAAUCGUAUGCUCACUCCGGUCCUUCAAUACGAGUCACCAUUUGAAAAACUAUUUCAUAAAUAUCCAAACAUUUAAAAACUCAAAGUAUUGGAUUGUUUAUGUUAUUCAUGGCUACGUCCCUAUGCCUCGCAUAAGCUAAUAUCACGAUCUAAACCUUGCAUUUUUAUUGUAUAUUCUCUUGAACAUAAUGUCUUUCGAUGGUACGAAUCUCAAACUCAAAAAGUCUUUAUAUCACGUCAUGUUAUUUUUGUGGAGUCUACCUUUCUAUUUCAAAACCCUAAGUCACCUGCUGUGUGCCCUUCUCCAACAACUAUACAUCACUGGAGUACACCACCGAUCUCGUCAAAUGAGUCUCCUACAACACCACCCGGUCAUUCUCCUUAGGAUCCACACUCUCUCCUAGUUUAGCAGCUCCUCACUCCCUCCAUUGCACCUCUCUCUUUUUCACAGAGUUCCCCUACUACUGAAGUAUUAUCAUCGACUUCCACUUCAUGUAAGACCAAGUUGUCAGACAUCAACUACGUAUUUCUCACGUGCAUACAACUGAUCAGCUAGCAGACUCACUCACGAAGCCUCUCGCCCACAAACUAUUUUCAUUGCAUCGGUCCAAGAUCGACAUCCUUAAUGGAAGCUCAAUCUUUUAGGGGCAUGAUAGCAUAUAAGAUUUCCUCAACUGCAUGAGGAAAUCUCUAAGCAAUUGAGGAAAAUCCUCUUUGCUAAUAUGUAUAAAUAGUCAUCAAGUUCACUAUCUCAAAUACACUCUGUAAUUACAUUUCAUAUUUUAUCAGAUUUUAAGCUUUCGUAUCAUAGCAAAUCUCGAAGCAACACUUCAUCGUGGUGGAUUUUGGGCUUUCUCGACGUAGCGAAUCUGAAAGCCACUCCACCAUGACAAAUUUUAGGCUUUCCUACCACAAUAGAUAUCGAAGCUACACUUCAUCGUGACAAAUUUUGGGCUUUCCCAUCAUAGCAAAUCUUAAAGCCACACUCCGUCAUGACGGAUUUCAGGCUUUCCUAUCAUAGCGGAUCUCGAAGUCUCACUCCAUUGCAGUGUAUUUCGGACUUUCUCGCUAUAGUGCAUCUCAAAGCCCCAUUCCGCCAUGGCAGAUUUUGGUCUUUCCUACUGUAGCGGAUCUCAAGGCUCCCCUCCAUCGUGGCGGGUUUCAGGCUUUUCUAUUAUCAGAACCUUUAAGGGUUUACCCUUGAGGCAACACUAAUCUCAGUCUUGGGUGGAGAGAGAUCGACAACUCUUUCUUAUAUCUCUCCCCCCCAUAUACUAAGAAAGAGGACUCAUUCUUCACCUAAGCCUUUAGAGUCCAAAGCCUUUAGGAUCUCAAGAGAUCUCGGUCUCACCCCCCAAGAUCUUCAUAGGAGCAUUCCCCACCUUAUAUCGGUAGGGCGGGUUGGUCUUUAAGUCCCACAUUUUGGCAUUAAUUCUUCUCUCCUAUCUUAGCUCAGGAUGUCCCUUCUUUCUCACACUAGUUCUUCUGGGUCCUUUAGUCAUUAGUCGAUUGAGAUUCGUGCCUCGUCUUCAAGCAAUAUGAUGGCAGAGUAAGUCGGGUCGUCCUCAUUGGAGGGGGCAUCGUUCAAAAACCAAAGGGCUCUUUGGGACCUAGAGUCCAUAAGGAAUUCCUACAAUUGUGAUUCGGUGGUGAACACACCUCUUCUGAAUUGCCAGCAAUCCCAGUAUUGUAUCCCGACAGACUUCGAGCUACAUGCUCCCUGACCCUAUCAGCACCCCUUCAGCCUAGUUUUAGGGGCUUUUUGUUUGUCCUAUGACACCUUCGAGUUGGGGCUCCAUCUUCCCCUCUACCUAGGAAUAGUGUCCUGCCUCUAGUGAUAGAGGAUUUUGCCUUCUCAGAUGGCGUUCGAUUUGUAGUACUAUCUCAUAGUGUUCAUCAAGAAGUGCUAAUGUACCAACAUUAUCCCAACCCGCACCCUCUUCGCCUAUUGCUUUUGAUCAUGUAAAGGGAGGAGCAACUACUACUUGGCCACCCAAGAAGGUUUGAAAGUGAGUGGCACCCCUUCGAAUAACAAAUGUUAAAGGGAACGUUACUUUUUCAUAAGCACAAGCUAGGAAUGGGGAUUUACCCUCACUUGGUCGGUGUGCAAUAUUAAUAACACCCCUCCCUUCCCAUUGAAUGAGCAAGCAGAUUAUAUGCAUUUCUUGAGGGAUGUUCUUUACUCUUCUGCAACAUUCAGGAAGAUGGAUGAAGAUUGACUAGUUGAUGCAGGUCUCAGCCCGACCCCUCGGUGUACAACCCAAAUAUUCCCUUAUUUGGCUCGAACUUCAUUUUAAUCUCUUACUCUAUGAUUUGGAUUAUAUCCAGGUAUAAACCUACACGUCUUAAAGAGGAAGGAGCCUAGUUCCGUGUCGAGUGUUGCGGAGCCCUGUUUGACCUCAAUGGUUACUCGAGAACCAUCUUUGAAGGUGCUAAAUCUACCUCAAUUGGGUCGCGAUGAUGGUGUUAAAGUGGCCCAAGAAGAAACACAAGAUUAUAGCAUGGAGGGCUGCAUGCUCUCAAGAUAUAGUCGCUCAUGAACCCUGUCUACAAAGACACCAUUGGGGAGUGGUCAUUAGCCGAUAACCUAGGUUUUUAAAAGCAUCGAAAUAAAGUAUGUCGAUAGAGCUACCUGUAUUGAUCAUUAUCCUCUUUACUCAAGUGUUGAUCAUCCUUAUAAAGACCACCAAGGCAUCGUCAUAGUUUGGGUUGAGGUACCAUGAGCCUAACGUCAGGCAUUUUUUAAUUGUGGCUUAGGCAUAAGCUUUAUGCCACGAGGAGCUGUCUCCUCCCGAGAUGGGUCCACUGAUGAUGACUUAAAUUUAUCUUUCUACUAGACCUUGCGAAUUGGGAGAAGGUUUUCAAGGUUUUCAGACAAACCUCCCGAAGUGCCCCUAACGAAUGAGCUUCUUGAUCUGCUCCUUCAAAUCACAAUACUCCUCCAUGUCAUGGCCAUAAUCUCGAUGGAAGCAAUAAUAUUUUGAUUUAUUCCUCCUCUCUAAGGACGUCCUCAUCGUCGAAGGGUCCUUUAAAAUAAUCCUUUUUCCUUUAUUUACAAGAAGAUUUUGAUUCUUAUCAUGUUUAUGGAGGUUAACUCGGAUCUCGGGCGAGAUAUUUCGUGUUGACCAUGUUUCUUCCGUCAUGGUGAGCCUCAGGUCAGAGUUAGAGAUGUUGUUCUUACCAUGGCCUUUUGUGAGUUUCUUCAUGCUUAUUUGAGAUCAUUGCCUCCACGACUAAAUACUAAUUAGCUCUUUGGAGGACUUCUAGCACUGUCGUCAAUGACCUCUCUACCAAUGACCAGAAAAAGUGAGCGGGCUUAAGGCCCAACAUAAAACCUUGAAUCUUGAAGGAUGAUGGGCUUACUGUAUGCCUUGGAUUUCUUCCUCCGCUUGUUUGAGCCUGAAUAGUAUUUUUGUAAAUAGCCUUAUACAUAUAUAUUCUGUAGGGAAAUCUGGGGCUGACAUCACAUACGCAGUAGAAGAACAAUAAAAAUAAAAUUCCUAAUUGCCUAAAGAUGUGUUCGUCAUUGCUGCAAACAUUGGUGCGCAAAAAUUAUGAAACUUAAAACUAUGUCUAUGAAAUAUUGUGUUACCGAAAGUGAUCGUAUAUCCAUGAAUCCCUACAGAUCUCUAGGAGAGGGUGAAGGAGGUUAAGCGUCCUCCUCUCUAGUGGUGAUCUACACAGCAGGAUUGUGAUGAUGCUCCUCAAAACUCCGAGCCUGCUAUCUGAAGAGAAGAAGGGGAGGAGAAUACGAGAGGAAACCUAAAAAGACUAUAACCUAUGAACCAUUAGUUCUCACCUAUUUAGAGAGGUUCCCUAUCAACAUAACCCUAAUGGAUCUAGCCCUAUUGGGUAUUGGAUCUUCAUCCAACUACCAAUGCCUCUUAAAUUAGUGGAUCUCUAUCUAAAAAUCUCUCAUUGGCUCUUAAUGAAUCUCAUCCAUAAGAUCCAAUAAUUUAGGCGCUUAUUAGAUAUCCAAUAAGAUAUGGGCUCUACCAGAUAUUUCAUAUUUGAACUUCUACUCAUCGCAAUAUCUAUCAUAUGUGUGUAACUCUCUAGACCCAAUAUUGAGCUAGUCAUAUCUAUUAAAACUCUUUCUGGCUCAGUGAAUUAGUAUCUCUAUAAUAAUUCACUCGACUCAUCAACUACGAACGUACUAGGCCACUACGCUGUAGUCCCCAAACGAUACGAGGGAAUCCAAUCCAUUGGACUCGUCUAUCCUCGGUUAUCAUAUACCUAUAGUCCUUCAUAUAUCUAAUAUCCUAAUGACCGUAUACCGAGCAUGGUGCUAUCAGACUCAUACGGUUUAUACUCGAGUUUCGCUCUAAUCGAAUUCUCUUGAAGAACUCUUUUUCUCUCAAUCUGAAUGACCAUGACUAGGGAUUUGUCUGAGUAAUAACACAUGGGAUAUUUUUCUCAUUACACCGAGAGUGAAUGAUCCUCUAUCGACACUCAAUAGUCCUCGUAAGGUUGGCUACCACUCCCGAUGACCAACUGUACUAGAUUUGGAACCUCUAGACCUAUAAGUUCGAGAAUUAAGUACUCAUACAGGAUAUUAUUGAUAUCUUUAAGUCUAAGGCUCAGAUAUACCAUUGAGACUACGGAAUCACUAUCUGACAAUAAGGUAUCAUCAACCAUCCAAUAUUUCAUAAGCGAAUCAAUCAGUGAACUCAUUCUCAAAUAAGCACCUAUAAUGUAUAUCUAGUAUCCCCACAUGAGCAGCAUGAGACCAACUGCAUCCAUCAUACAGACGGGUAUACAACACACCAAUCUAUCCGGUUAUCUCGAUGUCCCUCUCAAAUGACCUAUGACCGGGAUUAUUUAGGAUAUGUGUUUAAAGGUGAAUCAGUCUCAUUAUUGUAAUCUCAUUAUGAUUUGAUUCUCAUUUCACAAAUCUAUAGACAUCACAAUAUAAUCAAGCAACAAGCAAUAUAAAGUGAUAAAAUACCAAAUAAUAAUAAUAAAUAAAAAAGAUUGCGUCUCAAGUCACACGUGUCAUCACUCAUAUGAUUUGCUUGUAGGGCAUCUAUGACUAGCAUAUUCCUAAAGAAGUUGAGCUUGAAUUCUUUUAUGAGUUGAGCGAAGAAACCUACCGAAAGUGGCUUCAAGUGAUUUGAGCAUAAAGGUGACAGUGUGCUCCAUUAGGUCAGAGUUACCGUCCAAGGCUUCUACUGAUGGAAGGUGAAAAUUUGUCGGGAUCAGUUCCUCUUGGAUGCUCUGGGUGAAUGGGGAGUGACCCGAGUUGACAUCAACUGAACCUUCUCUCUUAGAUUGUUGGAACAACUAAAGCAUCAUGUUUAAGCACUGGUAUAUUUGUUAUAGUUGGACCUUCAGGGAGUCAUCCAUCAAAUCCAUCAAUUGGGUCAUUGAUUUGAACAAGGCAAGACACUAAUGUGGUAGUGCACUAAUUCUACAGUCAGAGAGCAGGGUGCUCCUUUCACUGCUAGCUUAACGGGCUAGGGAUGGUCCUGAGUUAUCGGUACCGAGUCGGUUGGGGCAAUCCCGAUGGGGAUGCCGACGAUGGGUGAGACAUCAACCGCGAUUGAGAUAGUGGCAUGACUUAUUGAGCUAGUUGUGGCAAGAGUAGGAUGAUAGGUUACAUCAUUCCUGUGAGCGUAUGUCUGGUGGGUGAGAUUCAAGAAUUUUUCGAUAGGAAUAAUUAGGUGGCCCGUAUUCGUCUCUAGAGGUAAAAGACUUAGGUUAUUAAAUAGACAACAAUAACACUCCAGUGAUUGAGCAAAAGUGGACACAUCCACAUGAGUAAAGGAGGAUAGUUGCCCCUCAUUGGAGAUUCGUUAAGAGGGUUAGUGGGUGAAAAUUUCUAUGAUAUUCAAACCCUUCUUCUAAUGCCAUGCUAAGGGAAAGUACCAUCAACGUUUUAAUCAGCCCGGCUUAAGCCAAACCCGAAGGCACAGGAGUGUCUGAGGCCCCCUUUAAGUGGUCUCGAUGUAUUUGAGGUGGCUCCGAGGUCAGCUUCAAAUGGCUCGAAGGUAGACUUGGAGUGGCUCCGAGGUGGACUUGAGAUGGAUCGAAGGUAAGGGUUCGAUUUCCUGAGCACUUCCUAUACAAAGACAAGUCAGUCUAAGAUUCCUUUUGGGGUGCAGAGCGUUCUUGAAAAAAAUAUCACCCAAGCCAAUGCUAAGAAUCAACUUUUAUACUUGAUCAGUUGAGGGGUCACCCUAUAAUAACUCGAACAUCUCUCUUCAACGUCUUCCUCACAAAAACGACUAAAAGGGGAGUCAUACCCAAAUAAUCUCCCAUGGAUUAUAGCCCAACGAGGUCGAUAAGCUAUAGCCACCCUCAUUUCCUACAUCAAUGCACGAUUAAUUAAUCGGCUAUGAUUCACUAUCAAAAUAUUUCCAAUCAAUAUCCAACAACCUUACAAAUGCUUUAGCUUAUUUGGCAAGACACUACAAUGCCAACGUUCUUUUCUUUUUGUUGGCAGCGGUAGUACACCACGUAGCAACUUGUUUGACCAUUAAAACUCAAUCUAAUUUUUUUCAAAAAAAAAGGUACACACAAAAUAUAAGAAAUCUAUAUUUCAAUAAAGCAGAUGACGUAAAAAUAGGACAAUCCAAAGCACAAUCAUCGGAAGGAAGGGCAGCCUUCGGGCACGUAGGAACCCGCCGUCGGACACUGAGCAAGAGGGCAGUGGUCGUCGGCAUCGCCUCCCCACCAUGCCACGGAGUAGAUGUUAUAGUUGUUGAGGGCGAAGAAAGCGAGCACGGCCAUGAAGGCCGUCCCGGCAUCCAAACCGGCUGAUAGCACGUAGGUGUACCUCCCCCACCAGUUCUUGUACUUGUUGUACACGUAAUAGUUGAAGAUGAUGCCGACGACGAACCAGGAGGUGUAGUUCACCGCGUGGGCGGGCGGCAUCAUGGCCGUCGCUCCGAGGAGCACCGGGAAGUUGAUAAGCUUGAUCCACUUCUUCUGGGGGAAGAACCGCGACAGAAGCCAGACGAAGAACGGCGCCAGCGCCCCGGCGAGGAAGAAGUAGUUGAGGGAGGAGUAGAUGCUCUCGGGGCCGAACAUGCGCAACGGGCCAACGACUCCCCAGAUGAUGGACGCGCUGAAGAAGACAGCGUCGCUGGGGCACGUCCACGGGCUGCCCUCCGGUAAUUUGCUGGUGUCGCAGAUGGACGUGAUGGUGCCGAGAAGCCACCAUGCCGUCCCGAAGUAGACUGCAGAGGCGACUACGGUUCCCACCAGCUGAAGCAACGGCAGUUAGGUUUAGGUUUAUGUGCAUGCCGUGGAGAUACAAUGGAGACUCAAUGAACUAAAGAGUAAUAGAUUUAACCUGGACAAAAAACAUGGCCUUUGGAGGGAUCUUCAUGUACUGCCCCAACUUGAAGUCGGAGAGGAACGUGUGAGCUUGGGUCAUGCUAAUGUAUCCAUACGUCUUAAAUACCACGUUCGCCAAAGGCUUCCCUGGCAUUAUGUAACCUAUCACCAUCUCUGUGAUAAUGUUCAGUCCCGGUUCCUGCAGCACCAAAGAAACAAAGCACGUAAUGCUCUAUGCCGAGGUGUGUGUGUGUGUGUUUAUAUAUAUAUAUAUAUAUAUAUAUAUAUAUAUAUAUAUAUGGCAGAGGUGGAGGAACCUGAUUGGCGGUGGCAAGAAUGACUCCGAUUGGCAGGGUGAAAAUGAAAGCCAUGGCCAUGGCAAGCAAAAUACCCCAGUAAGGCAGCUGAAGCUGCUUGCCGAAUCCUUCGCAGGUGAAGAUGGCCAGUGCCGUGACGACGACAAGAAUAAUAUGGAACCACCAUUGAGGGACGGACUCGUAGUUUGCCUUCAUUAGUCUCCCAUGGAUAUCUAGGUAAUUAUCGUGCAUCUUGGAUGCCGUUUGGCGCCAUAGUUUCAGGAUGUACCUGUGGCAGGUCGAGCAACACGCAUGAAUACAGUACAAGAGCAAAGAUAUAAGCAUAGCAGAGGAAGGAAGGGACUCACGAGCCAUUGAAGAGGAAGACAUGGGCGAGAGUGGCCGUCAGUGUCGCAAAGCCGAGCCCGUAGGAGAUGGCGAACAUGAUGCUGAGACGGAUAUCGCUGUAUUUCUCGUAUUCAGUGAUGUUCAAGGUGAACGUCUUCUGAUCGAGAACACGGCCGAGGUCGUAUUUUUUUCCGUAGACGUCGUACAAGGACGACGUAUACACGGGGAAGUUCUUAGAGCCGUACGCAUUAGACCAGUAGGCGAUGGGGACGAUGACGUAGACGAGGAAGAUGUAACCAGCUAAUAUGUUGAAGGUAGCAAACGCUGGUGAAGCCAGGGGACUGCCGAGGAAUCCGGCGAUGGUGGACCAGUCGAGGCCGAAAGACCCGACGCCGAGCCCGUGGAGGCCGGAACCAAUCUGAUGCGCGGUGACGGACUUCUUCCAGAUCAGGCAAAUCACGGAGAUCGCGGUGAUGGAUGGGAACAGCACGUUGGGAACAACGUAGUAAGCGAAGCUACAGGUGAUGACUAUCAAGAAGAACUGGAAUCUUGACACACCACCCUUGGGCCUCUUCUCUUCCUCAUGCAGUGCUCUGCACACGACAACAGAACAGAACUCAAUAGGCUGAUGUACGGAUAUGGGAAAUGCAUUGCAGAAUUACCUGAAGAGGGAGACUUGGACGAGGUUUCCCGGCCACCACAUAUACGGUGAGUCCACCAGGUACUUUCUGAACAGUCCGGCCCAUCCGAAUCCAAGCAACUGAGGUUUCGCACGAACGAACACAAGGUGUGAGUAUUAGACUGUUAGAUGAGAUUACUGGUACGAGCGAAUAGGAUCAUGUUCUGAAAGCAUGCAUGGAAUGAUAUGAACAGAGUAAUCCGACCUGGGUUGUUUCCGAUAGCAGCAACGCUGCGAUGAUGUUGAUGCCGCGAUGGUAAAAGGCCUUCAUGAUGGUGACGAUGUUCACUGCAUAGACGCCGCCAGCACCGGCGUUGGCGAAGAUGGUGAUCAGCACGUGCUCUUUGAGGUUGAACGGCCCAGGAUUCAUGGAGAAAGACCAGUUGGUGAGCGGGAUUUUGAUCCGCGUUGUGGGCAGGAUGGCGGCCAUGGCUCGGCCGACGGGGAGCGCCAGUAUCUGAACGCAAACCGACGACAGGGAGAUCUGGUUCUCCCGGUAGCCCAGGAACUGGUUGACGAAUGAGAGCAGGACGCAGGAGACGAGCCCCAGGGUCCAUGUUCGGAAGGUCAAGCAUGGCAGGCUCGGAUCGUCGGUGGCCGGCACUGUGAGCCUUACCUGCUCGAUGGGGCUGUCAUAGGUCUCCUCUGCCAUCACCAAAGCAAUAAUCCGCAAACACAAAUCAUAGUCGAAAACAAGAUAUAUUCUUCUACACUCGUAGACUCAAACGACGUAAAAAAGAACCACAAGAAAGAGGAAGAGGGAAACAAGAGUACCAGUAAUUCCAAGAUCCCGGGACUCAUCGGCGACGGAUCCCAUUUCGCUCUCUCUCCUCCUUUGCAAUUCGUGAUUCCAAUCCGAUACUUGUAGAUAUCAAACCGCACGAUAAGGAUUCGGUUCUGAUUCCUCCAGCAAAACCUUCCCAAAAUCAUACGUAUGCGUUUUCCUUAUCAGACAUGAACGAAGCGACCACGAAAGAAAAUAAAUGAAUCUACUAAUCCUGCACCGCCACGUCGUUAGAACGCAGGAUAAAUAUGAAUGCACGAUCAGCCGAGGCUGUUCGGGGGUGGUUUGAUGUUGGAGUACUGCUUUGGUAUGUUCAUUGGGUGUAUUAGAAAGCAGGCCGACCAAGCAAUUCAGUUGGAGUAUAAGUGAACUCCAUUUAUCGCCUGCAUUUGCCCUCCCGUUUUGGAAUAAGUUAUUACUACUGAUGUUGAAAAGGUCUCCCAGAAACCAGCCCGAGACACAUAACAACGGCGAUUCUUUUUUACGAUGAUGAUGAUGGUGAUGAUUAUUAUUAUUAUUAUUAUUAUUAUUAUAAAUGAAGAGAGCAAGAAAAAGAAAGAAGAAAUGAAGAGAUGAAGAAGUGGAAAGAAGAGAGAGAGAGAGAGAGAGGAGUGAUCGGGGAAGAAAGAAAGAAAGAGAAGGGGGAAAAAGAAAAGGGGAAGGGGAAGGGGGAGGGGAUCGUGCAAGCAAGGAGAGGAAGAGAAAGUGAGGAAGUGAGAAAAGAAAGAAAAAGAAAAAAAGAAAGAAAAGAAAACUAAGAAAACAAACCAUAAAGGAUUCGGUUUCAUAUCAGAUGAGGUAUGGUUAUAAUUUUUUUAUUAUAUUCUUAUUAAUUAAAUUUCUGUUUUAGAUUAUAGGUCCAAGAAUCUUGGUGUUCCUAAUUAAUUGGACGUUUAUAUCAUGAAGGCAAUAAAAGAAUGAAAAAUGAUAAUAUUGAAAAAAAGAAGAAGAAAAGAUCAUAAUAUUUUGGUAGAUGACUUCAUCUAUUUUAGUCUUAAAAUAGUAAUGUAUGCGUUUGAUGUUCAUAAAUGUUUGUGAUUUACAUCAAUUACAAGUCAUUUUAUUAUCUAAAAGCAUUGCAAAAAGAUUUAUAUGUUGAUGAUUUUAAAAUUUAAAUAAUUAUUUAUUAUGGUAUAAGUAUUUAUUUAUUUAUGUCGUCUGAUUUAUAUGAAAAUGUUCAUUUAGCAUUAUAUUUUUUAAAAAAUAUUAAAAAAUAUAUGGCUUUAAAAAGAUAUACGAAAAGAUUUGUCUAAUUCCUAAUUUGGAAAAAAGUAAAUGAUGUGCUAUUUUUCAUGAUAUGACAAAUGUAUUGUGGGCUAUGACUUGGACCAUACCUUUGGGGUUAAAUAUUAAUAUUUAUUCAAGCUAAUUUCUUUUAUAUCUUUGAUUUAGAGAUAUAUGUGUUAUCUAUACCAUAUAGCUUAAACAUGUUUCUGAGUCUUAUCACAUAAUAUAAUAUGGUCAUAACCAUUGAUGCUACUAUGACUUCUCCUCUUACAUGCACAACUUAGCUAUAUUUAUGUUUAUGAACCAUUAAUUAUAUUUAUAUGAAUAGUAGUCAUUGCAUUAUAAUAUUUAUCCUUUAAUAUGUGAUAUCAGUUAUAUCUAUGGUUUCAUUCUGAAAAUAUAUUUAAAUGUAUCUUAUUUUGAAAAAUAUUAUUAAUAAGUCAUGGUUUAAAUAUAUAUAUAUAUAUAUAUAUAUAUAUAUAUAUAUAUAUAUAUAUAUUGAAGUUUAAGUUUUCAUAAAUUGUGUGUGUGUGUGUAUAACCUUUAUUGAUAUGAUCCAAAUUAUAGUUAUACCGAUUAUAUAAUAAUCAUAUAAUAAAAAAUAAUAUAUCUAUUACUUUUUGUAAAACUAAACGUUUCAAUAAAUCUUUUUUGCGUAUCAUUUCAAAUCUAGUGAAAUCAUGUCCUUCAAAACUAAUAAUAAUCAGAUUUUUUUAAUCUUUUUUAAAAUAUAAUAUUGAACAAAUAUUUUUAUAUAAAUUUAGAUGAUAUAAAUCAAUAAAUAGUUAUAAAAUAAUAACUCUUCAAAUUAUAUGCUUUUCUAUGAACAUUGAAAUUCAUUUACAAUACUUUAAAAUAAUAAAAUAGUUUGUAAAUCAUACAAAUUAUAUACAAUAGCAAAUUUCAAAUGCAUGCAUUCCGACUUUUAAAAAUAAAAUAGACUGAAUCAUCGGAUGCUUAUUCUCAUUAUCCUCAUCGCAUAUCAUCGACAUAAAAUAUAAUUUCGAUACUUUUUUUUCUUUUUCUAUUCUUCCGAAAAUAGAUAUUAUUAUUAUUUAUUUUUUUAUUAAAUAAAUAUCAAAUUAAAUAAGAACAUUAUGUCUUUAUUUAAUAGAAAAUAAAUAAUUUUGUUAAAUUUAUUGAAUCCCGGAUUUGAUUGAUGAAAUCAUUAAAAAGUAUAUGAACUAAUGAGCAUUUGAGAAAAAUGACACAAGACAAAUUUCAUCAUGGAAAGAUAUAUCAAUUGAAGUAGGAGAUUCAGACGUUGGGUCGAAGUUCAUUAUGUCCGAGAUCGAGCAUCAUGAUAGAAAAGAUCAAACAUUGCGCUAAGAAGAUCAGAUGUUACGGGAGGUCAAUAUGCUGAUGAAUCAAGUUAUACAUCAAAGGAAAGGACGAUAUGCCGGAAGUUCGGAUAAAGUACCGGAUGAACUAAUCACAUGUCAGACAAUAUAGGCUUCAAGAUUAUAGUCUUGUGUCUUGAUUGAAGUAGUUUAAGUGUGUAAUUGAGUUAGUUUUGAGUAUAACCAUACAAACUUGAUUAAGAGCCCAUUGGGCCUGAAUUAUAAUUGAAUUGUGUCUAAUGGAAGGUCAAUUCAGUAAUUGGAGGUUGAGCCAAGCAGUGGAAUCUCUUGUAAGCUUAAAAAUAUGAUUUGUACUCUUCCAACAAUCUGACGGUGGUAUUACCAGGGUCAAUGGUGGUAUCACUCAAUGUUAAGUAGUAGUACCACCCAAACUCAUAGUGGUACUAUCAAAACAUUGUCUCUCAGGCUGUGUUAAGUAAUGGUACUACCCAAGUAGGCGGUGGUACCGCGAAUGCCCCCAACAACCCGGGAAUUUGAAUUAUUGGCUCCAUUUCUAAAGCUAUUUGGGGCCUAUAAAUAUCUCUCUCAUGCUUGUUUGACAAGCAUGAAAAACUUGUGAUUUUAAAAUAUCAUAAACUCUUAAAAAAUUAUUCUAAGGAAGAUAAGGUCUUUUGUAAAAAAUGAGUAUAAGAGUUAUUUCUUAAACCUGUGAAAAUUAGAAAGAGUUUUAACAAGGAUAAUUGAUCUUCACCCAUUGAAAAAAGAUCAAUAAUAAAAGUCAACGGGCUCGAAGGAAGAGAAAUCAGGAAUAGACGUAGGUCGAGACGAUCGAAUCAUUAUAAAUCAAUUUACAUUGCUUCUUUUGCCUUGAUUUUCUAUUGCAUGAUUUAAUUAUAAUCCUUACUUAUAUUUUUUGUUAAUCAUAUUUUCAAUAUAGAUUCAUUGGUCAAACUUUCAAACUGAAAUUUUUUGAAAUCACUAACAAAAUUCACCCACAAUUCUCCUCCCCUCCUAAUCCUAAAAAAAUUUCUUUAUCUCAUUUUAUUAUUUUUCUCUUAUUUUCUCAUCUUGUAUUUCUUUCCUUUUCCUCUCCCUCUUCCCCAUCUUUUCUCCCCGCCCCCUUACCAUCCUAACAAAAUUUCUUUCUCUUAUUUUUUAUUAUUUUUCUCUUAUUUUCUCAUCUUGUAUUUAUUUCCUUUUCCUCUCCCUCUUCCCAUCUUUUCUUGUUGCCUGUCUCUUUCUCUCAAUUUCCUUUCCCUUUCCCUACCUUUUUCUCUGUUCUCCCUUUCCCCACGCUCUCACAAUAAAGUCUCUCUUAUACAGGAGAGAGGAGGUGGGAUGUAGAUAGAUAAGUAAUAUAAAGAUUGCACACAUCAUGCAUUUCGAAAUCGAUAACAGCGACCAAUUGUCAUCGGCAAUCUAUAUUAAUCCUGGCGUCUCUUAUUCCUCCCCUUAUGCCAUCGUCAUUGAAUGGCAGGGCAGCCGUCAGGCACAUAGGAUCCCGCCGUCGGACACUUGGCCAGGGGGCAGUAGUCAUCGUCAACCCCUCCCCACCAGUCGACGGAGUAGAUGUCGUAGUUGUUGAGGGUGAGGAAAGCGAGCACCGCCAUGAAGGCCGUCCCGGCAUCCAGACCGGCGGACAACACGUACACGUACCUCCCCCACCAGUUCUUGUACUUGUUGUACACGUAGUAGUUGAAGAAGAUGCCGACGACGAACCAGGAGGUGUAGUUCACGGCGUGGGCCGGCGGCAUCAUGGACGUCGACCCGAGCAGCACCGGGAAGUUGAUGAGCUUGAUCCACUUCUUCCGGGGGAAGGUCCGCGCCAGCAGCCAGACGGCGAACGGCAACAGCAUCCCCACCAGGAAGUAGUAGUUGAGGGAGGAGUAGAUGCUCUUGGGGCCGAACAUGCGCAACGGGCCGACGACUCCCCAGAUGAUGGACGCGCUGUAGAAGACGGCGUCGUUGGGGCACGUCCACGGGCUGCCCUCCGGUAAAUUGCUGGUGUCGCAGAUGGCCGUGACGGUGCCGAGAAGCCACCAUGCCGUCCCGAAGUAGACUGCAGACGCGACCACGGUUCCCACCAGCUGAAGAACAUUAGUUCCCAAGGCAGCAGCAGAUCAGCAUUCCAACAACUCUUGCCGUGCAUGUCGUGGCACAAAAAAAGAGAGAACAAACAACCAUCAGAUGUAUGGAUUUAACCUGGGCAAUAAACAUGGCCUUGGGAGGGAUCUUCAUGUACUGCCCCAGCUUGAAGUCGGCGAGGAACGUGUGUGCUUGCGACAUGCUUAUGUAUCCAUACGUCUUAAACACCACGUUCGCCAAAGGCUUCCCUGGCAUUAUGUAACCUAUCACCAUCUCUGUGAUGACGUUCAAUCCCGGUUCCUGCGGCGCCGGCGAAACAAAGCAUGUUACGCCGAGCAGCAGAACGUAAGAUCAGACGUAAAUGUCGAGAGGGCAGAGAGUGAAGGAACCAUAUUCGUGGUCGCUAGAAUCACUCCGAUGGGCAGCGUGAAGACGAAAGCCAUGGCCAUCGCUAGCAGGACACCCCAGUAAGGAAGCUGCAGCUGUUUGUCGAACCCUUCGCAGGUGAAGAUGGCCAGCGCCAUGACGACGACCAGAACGAUAUGAAACCACCAUUGAGGGACUGCCUCGUAGUUUGCCUUCAUUAGUCUCCCAUGGACGUCUAGAUAAUGGUCGUGGGCCUUGGAUGCAGUUUGACGCCACAGUGUCAGGAUGUACCUGCACGUUGUCCAGCAAAAGAUAUGAAUCGAAUCCACGGAAGAUGGAUAUGUGGAUAGCGGUAGAUCGAGCAACAGGAUACGCACGAGCCAUUGAAGAAGAAGACAUGGGAGAGAGUGGCGGUCAAUGUCGCAAAGCCGAGCCCGUAGGAGAUGGCGAACAUGAUGCUGAGACGGAUAUCGCUGUAACUAUCGUACUCCUGUACGUUCAAGGAGAAGGUCUUCGGAUCAAGAACACGGCUGAGGUCGUAUUUCUUCCCAUCGACGUCGAACAAGCCCGAAGUGAACAUUGGGAAGUUCUUGGCGCUGUAUGCGUUGGUCCAGUAGGCGAUGGGGGCGAUGACGUAGACCAGCACGAUGAAACCAGCCAAUACGUUGAAGGUCGCAAACGCUGGUGAAGCCAGGGGACUGCCAAGGAAGCCGGAGAUGGUGGACCAGUCGAGGCCGAAAGAACCGACGCCGAGGCCAUGGAGCCCGGAACCGAUCUGCUGCGCGGUGACGGACUUCGUCCAGAUGAGGCAGACCACGGAGAUGGAGGUGAUGGCAGGGAAGAAGAAGUUGGGGACGACGUAGUAGGCGAAGCUGCAGGCGAUGACUAUCAAGAAGAACUGGAACCUUGACACACCACCCUUGGGCCUCUUCUCCUCCUCAUGUAGUGCUCUGCCCACAAUGGCAGACCAGAGAAUUCAAUGGCUUGAUGCAGGGAUACUACAAAUGCAUUGCAGAAUCACCUGAAGAGGGAGACUUGGACGAGGUUUCCUGGCCACCACAUGUAAGGUGAAUCCACCAGGUACUUCCUGAACAGUCC
rnacentral:lncRNA from 1 species